UACUCAAGCAUGAUUACUUACAUACUAUUU
rnacentral:piRNA from 1 species